rnacentral:lncRNA from 1 species
AUGACCCAAUGCAGAUGUGUCUACUCAGGGCCAAUCUGCAGGUUAAUUUAUGGCAGCGGGCACUCUGAUGAUUUGGGAUCAUUUAAGCUCAUUACUACGGCACCUGGUGCCCAGGCUGCCCCAGUAGCUUAACUGGUCAUGUGACUUGAGUGACAUCAUCACCACUUUUCCCCACUUCCUGGAUUAAUGUUUGGUGGCCUACUUUUCCUCCGAAGCCUCUGGCAGAAGAUCCUGAGGAAGCAAAGCAUAAUACCGAUAAAUAUUAGAUCCUUCACUGCACUACUGGUUACAAGGAAAGAGGAAAUAUUCCGUUUUACAGGUUCUUCAUCCACCUCGACCUCACCCCCCAAUCCCCAAACUGUUGGAAGACGGCACAGCGAAAGUGCACAGGCCUGUCUUAUUCUUUGGAGGGAAGCACUUUCUCUUGUCAUUGGCUUUUUCCUUCUAGCCACGAAGAAAUGUACUUUUGCGAAGAACUGGAAAGAGGAUUCUGUGAACUUGUAUGGAGAAGCUGUUGACGGUGAAGGAUGUAACAUUGUGCUGAAAUAACUGGCUGAAAGAAACUCAGGGAAGAAAUAAAAGAGACAUGAGGAGAAGGCUCUCUGCUGGAUAGAAUGACCGAAUCUGGUGGAAGGAGGGUCCUGGGGGCAGUGGGAGGCAGGGUUCUCAAUGAAGUGGGUGCACAGGUUAUUAUCCCAGAGCCAUCCCCAGUCCUUAUUAGCAUCACCUGCUUGUUUCCAGCUCAGAGAUUCAGCUCCACUUUCCUUUGGCAAAGGGAGAGGCAUUUCAAGAUAUUUGGUCCUCAACAUCUGGAAGAGAGAAAACUCUUAAUAUACGAUGAGGAAACUGAAGCUUGGAGGAAUUAAAUGACUUGCCCUUCUUUACAUCUGUCAUUGCUGGAAACCAUUUUGCAUACUGAUGCCCGAAUGACGUUGAUGUACUACAGACUAUGUCAUUCCCCUUCUUAGGAUCCUCAUACCGCCGAUGGAUUAACAUGCAAGAUCCUGAGUGUUUUAAGGAAAACUUCAGGAUGCAAGCCAACAAAUAUCAAAGAAGAUAAUGAAGGACCACAGAACCCAGUCGAGUCCAAGCACAUUUAUCUGAGGAGCCAACUCAUAUUGACCUGUUUGUGCCCCUACUCUGCCUCUUGUUCCUGAUGAAGAUAUUAUAGAGAUAAAAGCCAUAAGAAAGAUGACAAACCAUAAUUAGGUGUGUCAUGAACUGAUGUCCAGCUAGCUUCACUUUCGGUUAAAGUCUAGGGUGGACGGUGGGCAUGUUCAAUCAGCAGAUGAAGAUGAGAUCACAACGGCCAAGUUUGGGAUCCUGAAUAAGAGUUGUACUCAGCACAGGAAUUAGGGGUCUUCUAGGGAGCUGAAGAUCUGUUGAAACCUCUGCUGACUUUGGGAUGUAAAUUACAUGCUUCAGGAAUCUCUCUUGUCUCAGUCUUUCAGCUUGAUGCCAUUGCUGCACAGAAGGAAAUCUUUGAAGGAGCAGCUAUAUUAAUGUGAGGAUCUGUGGCUGGAAAAGAUGGCAAAGAUGGGUAACUUCUUUUAGGGUCAAUCAGUGUUAGGAAACCAUGUCUUGAAUUUGGAUACUGAUAUGAAGCACCUGACUAUGCAGUAAUUUUUUCAGAAUAGAUUUAGGACACCAGGAACUAUCUCCAUUUGUGAAAACAGGAUUUGGGACAUAUCCUUACUGAUUUUUCUAUCUAUAUGCAAAAUCAAGGAUUUAUUGUAAAAAUGUAGAAAAUAUAGAAGGAAGAAAGAAGAAAAUAUAUGUAAGCCCAUAUAUGUAACUGAAGAAAAUCCUCAAUAGUCUUUUUUUCUGUUAGACCCUUCCAUUGUUUUUCCUAUGCAUAUGCAUGUGUGUUUUAUUUGGAACUAUAUUUUAUGCUUUUUUUUUGUGAGGAAGAUUGUCCCUAAGCUAACAUCUGUUGCCAAUUUUCCUCUUUUUGUUUUUUUCUCCCCAAAUCCCCAGUACAUAGUUGUAUAGUGUAGUUGUAAGUCCUUCCAAUUCUUCUGGGAUGCUGCCACAGCAUGGCUUGAUGAGUGCUGUGUAGGUCCGCUCCCAGGAUCCGACCCAGCAAAUCCUGGGCAGCAAAAGCAGAGUGUACAAACUUUGGGCCGGCCCCUAGUACUGGAUUUUAUAACAUUCAUGUUCCACAGUGCCUACUUUUCUGUAAACUGGUUUCUCACUUCACACUUCAUGCAUACUUUUAUGUUAUUAAAUAUUAUUUUAGAUCUUGAUUUUUAAGCACUGUGUAUCAUUUUCACAUACUGUAAUUUAUUUUGCCAAUGCCCCAUUGGUCCAGUUUUUUCUCUGUUAUAAGCAUUCCAUGUUCAUAAAUAUUUAUUAUAUUUGUAAUCUUUCUUCAGGAUAAAUUCCAGGUUAUAGAAAUAAUGGGAUAAAUGGCAUGGUUUUUCUUUUAGGUUUUUAAUGCAUAUUACCAAAGGCCUAUUCUCAAGAUCCAUGGCCAACCCUAGGCAUUAAUACUGAACAAUAAAAUAAAAUAAAUAGUUUUGAAAUUUUAUAAGAUAAAAUAGCAUUUGAUGCUAUAAUAAUUUGUACCUCUUCUAUAGCAACUCAAUAUUAUUGACUUUGAGAUUUCUCUAAUGCUUCAUACUGGCAGCUAAUGUCCAGGAGUAGGGACUGGAAACUUGGGUUCAAUUGAAGGCUCCGACACUGGCUUGCUACACAAUCUUGGCUCAGUUUCUUCAUCCCUGUCCCUUAGUUUUCUUAUCUUGAAAAUGGAGGAAAGAAUAACCCCACCCAUUUGUGUUUCAUCAAGAUGCUAUGAAAACAAAUGAAGUCCCCUCCCAAAUCCUUUUCCACACUUCAACUGUCUGUAAAAGGUCUAUAUUAAGGUUAAU